rnacentral:lncRNA from 1 species
UGAAAAUCCUACGCUCUGCCCAGGGCGUAGUGGUUCAUUGUAGGGCCACAUCAUGUUUUGAAUUUUCAAUGAUUAUCAUCAAUAAAGGACGUUUUGCAAUCAAAUUUGUGUUCACUGUCUUUCUGUUUUUACUUUCAUUUUCAAAACAUUAAAAAUGGCAAUGUUUUUUUGUUUUUUGUGACUUCCUUUAACUCUUUUCUAAAAUAAAGCAUGAAACAUCAUUCGUGCAGAAUUGAUC